GCUCUUCUCUCUCCUCGCCCGCUUUUUUCCGGUGAUUUACCAACUCUCCGGUGAAGCUCCGGUGGCGUUGUUUUCGUCGAUUUUGCUUGAUUUCUAGCUGUUUUCUCGAUGCUCUUUCAUCCUUCUGUACAGAUCGAAGCUCUCUCAUCCUCUUGUAACCUGUAAUCUUAAGUUUCAUUUGUAGCAUUUUCCGUUACGGUGGAAGUUUCAACGAUAUGAAGGGAGAAAUUGUGGUGGUGGGAGAGAACAGAAGGAGAGGGAAGGUGCUGGGAGAGAACGGUUUUCUUCAUGUUUUUUGGUGUUUUGUUCUUCUAUGAUUUUGCUUAUCCUUCUCCUUCAUCUU
rnacentral:lncRNA from 1 species